GCAGUCGUGGCCGAGUGGUUAAGGCGAUGAACUAGAAAUCCAUUGGGGUUUCCCCGCACAGGUUCGAAUCCUGUCGACUGCG
rnacentral:tRNA from 1 species